rnacentral:rRNA from 1 species
CCUACGGGAGGCUGCAGUGGGGAAUAUUGGACAAUGGGGGCAACCCUGAUCCAGCCAUGCCGCGUGUGUGAAGAAGGCCCUCGGGUUGUAAAGCACUUUCAGUGAGGAAGAACGCCUGGUGGUUAAUACCCAUCAGGAAAGACAUCACUCACAGAAGAAGCACCGGCUAACUCCGUGCCAGCAGCCGCGGUAAUACGGAGGGUGCGAGCGUUAAUCGGAAUUACUGGGCGUAAAGCGCGCGUAGGUGGCUUGAUAAGCCGGUUGUGAAAGCCCUGGGCUCAACCUGGGAACGGCAUCCGGAACUGUCAAGCUAGAGGGCAGGAGAGGAAGGUAGAAUUCCCGGUGUAGCGGUGAAAUGCGUAGAGAUCGGGAGGAAUACCAGUGGCGAAGGCGGCCUUCUGGACUGACACUGACACUGAGGUGCGAAAGCGUGGGUAGCAAACAGGAUUAGAUACCCCGGUAGUC